CAUUAUUGCCAUGAUCAUCUUCAAUCCCCAUUCGUUUGCGUAUUAUAUCCUUAUCCUCCACA
rnacentral:antisense_RNA from 1 species